rnacentral:rRNA from 1 species
GUGGGAACCUGCCCAUCAGUGGGGGAUAACCGAGGGAAACCUCGGCUAAUACCGCAUGCGCCGGAGCAAUCCGGGAAAGAUUUAUCGCUGAUGGAGGGGCCCGCGUCGGAUUAGCUUGUUGGUGGGGUAACGGCCUACCAAGGCGAUGAUCCGUAGCUGGUCUGAGAGGAUGAUCAGCCACACUGGGACUGAGACACGGCCCAGACUCCUACGGGAGGCAGCAGUGGGGAAUAUUGGACAAUGGGCGCAAGCCUGAUCCAGCAAUGCCGCGUGAGUGAGGAAGGCCUUAGGGUUGUAAAGCUCUUUCACCCGCGACGAUGAUGACGGUAGCGGGAGAAGAAGCCCCGGCUAACUUCGUGCCAGCAGCCGCGGUAAUACGAAGGGGGCGAGCGUUGUUCGGAUUUACUGGGCGUAAAGGGCGCGCAGGCGGCUUAUUUUGUCAGGCGUGAAAGCCCCGGGCUUAACCUGGGAACUGCGUUUGAUACGGAUGGGCUAGAGUUCGGGAGAGGAGAGUGGAAUU